AUACUUGACUGCCUUUUGGCUAAGAUAAAGUGUAGUAUCUGUUCCUGUCAGUUUAAUAUCUGAUGCGUCCACUAUCUGGGGACCAUUAAUGAAACGCUGAGACGCGGUAGUCCUG
ensembl:snRNA U2 U2 spliceosomal RNA